UGUACAAUUAGUCCUUAAUUAUGAAAAUAGGGGAGUGCCCUUUUGAUGGCUAGGAUUGAUGCUAAGAGGUAUCCUAAGCCUGCUUCAAAACUCGGGAUGAAAGGGUACCCCACACUGCUAUUGUUUGUCAAUGGCUCUUUCUCAGCCGUAUACCGGUGGCUAUUUGUCGGACGAAAUUGUGAUUUGGGCAAGGAAGAAGACGGGUGUGCCUGUUAUUACAAUUAACUCAGUCAAUGAGGCAAAUGAGUUCCUGAAGAAGCAUUCUAUCAUUUCUAUGUUUGCAGUUGGGCGUUUUGACAAACUUGUGCUAUGGACCAGAUUAUGAAGAAUUCGUUAAAGCUUCAAAAGCUGAUAAUGAGAUUAAAUUUGUUGAGCAAUCAGUGCAGAGAUAGCUGAAGUCUUAUUCACAGAUAUAAAGUCCACUCAGCUUUUCUUUGGUCUUGUUAAAAGUGAACCAGAGCAGUACAUUG